rnacentral:misc_RNA from 1 species
UUUAUUUUUAGGGUCCUGUGAUAUAUGACUUAGAAAAGGAAACUUGAUGCCAGGUGUAUUUAUUUCGUUGGUCAAUAUUUGAUAAUUAAUAAACAGGUGUAAAAUAUUCAUCGUCAGCAAUGACCCAGUUUUUGUCUUGUCUUUUUUGCAGCAGAAUGUGUAUUUUUACUUGUUGUCAUUUAUUUCUGUGAAGUAUUUUUCAUGAGAGAGAAAAAAAAAAGAAGAUAUUUUGAAAUGAUAUAUUCAAUUUUUUUCUUUUUCUUUCAAUUCAUUGUCUUCAUUUUAGAUUUAUCAAUGGCAUGACAUAUCUUUUAUAAACAUUUUCAUCAUGCGCAUGUUUGGAGCAACAGUUGUCUAUAUUAGUUCUUUUUUUUUUUAAUCAUAUGGGCCAAACAAGGUUCACUUUUUUUACCUUGGCAUAAAUUCAAGAGGAAUAUUUCAGGUAAAUUUUGACCUUUGACCUUUUUAUUGUUCAGUGCCUGUGGCAGUUAAGAGCAAUCAAAUUUUUUGGAUAUUUUUCACCAAUUUCCUUUUUCUUCAACAUUGUCCUGUCAUGGGCAAACAUAUUUUAACCAUACUGAUGAACUGUAAAAACAAGAUGAAUAUCAUCCCCAGCACAACCAGAAUUGAUUGGUGUGCAUUUGUUCUUCAUGUAAUGUUGAAAAAAAAUAAAAUGUUAUUUAUCAAAUUUCAUAUCAUCAUGAAAAAAGUAUUUUUGUUGGUGCAAAAAAAUCUUAACCAAUCAAAUCAUAUUUUUGUUGUUGAAAGAAAACAUUUUGUCAUAUUUGUAAAUGACCAAUCAGAUCUGGUUUUGCAAGUGCUGGGAAUUCUUUUUGACCAAUCAGAUUUGGUUUUAUGUCUGUAUUUGUUGUUAAGCCUUGUGAUACUCCAUACUAUUGUUAUUGUGAGCAGCAAUAUUACUGGUUCUGUCAGAUGGUAGUCAUGACGCUUUACUGUACUUGUUAUCAACAAUAAAGACUAAAUCAAAAUG